rnacentral:rRNA from 1 species
GACGAACGCUGGCGGCGUGCUUAACACAUGCAAGUCGAACGGAAAGGCCCUGCUUUUGUGGGGUGCUCGAGUGGCGAACGGGUGAGUAACGCGUGAGUAACCUGCCCUUGACUUUGGGAUAACUUCAGGAAACUGGGGCUAAUACCGGAUAGGAGCUCCUGCUGCAUGGUGGGGGUUGGAAAGUUUCGGCGGUUGGGGAUGGACUCGCGGCUUAUCAGCUUGUUGGUGGGGUAGUGGCUUACCAAGGCUUUGACGGGUAGCCGGCCUGAGAGGGUGACCGACCACAUUGGGACUGAGAUACGGCCCAGACUCCUACGGGAGGCAGCAGUGGGGAAUAUUGCACAAUGGGCGGAAGCCUGAUGCAGCAACGCCGCGUGCGGGAUGACGGCCUUCGGGUUGUAAACCGCUUUCGCCUGUGACGAAGCGUGAGUGACGGUAAUGGGUAAAGAAGCACCGGCUAACUACGUGCCAGCAGCCGCGGUGAUACGUAGGGUGCGAGCGUUGUCCGGAUUUAUUGGGCGUAAAGGGCUCGUAGGUGGUUGAUCGCGUCGGAAGUGUAAUCUUGGGGCUUAACCCUGAGCGUGCUUUCGAUACGGGUUGACUUGAGGAAGGUAGGGGAGAAUGGAAUUCCUGGUGGAGCGGUGGAAUGCGCAGAUAUCAGGAGGAACACCAGUGGCGAAGGCGGUUCUCUGGGCCUUUCCUGACGCUGAGGAGCGAAAGCGUGGGGAGCGAACAGGCUUAGAUACCCUGGUAGUCCACGCUGUAAACGGUGGGUACUAGGUGUGGGGUCCAUUCCACGGGUUCCGUGCCGUAGCUAACGCUUUAAGUACCCCGCCUGGGGAGUACGGCCGCAAGGCUAAAACUCAAAGGAAUUGACGGGGCCCCGCACAAGCGGCGGAGCAUGCGGAUUAAUUCGAUGCAACGCGUAGAACCUUACCUGGGUUUGACAUGGAUCGGGAGCGCUCAGAGAUGGGUGUGCCUCUUUUGGGGUCGGUUCACAGGUGGUGCAUGGCUGUCGUCAGCUCGUGUCGUGAGAUGUUGGGUUAAGUCCCGCAACGAGCGCAACCCUUGUUCACUGUUGCCAGCACGUUAUGGUGGGGACUCAGUGGAGACCGCCGGGGUCAACUCGGAGGAAGGUGGGGAUGACGUCAAGUCAUCAUGCCCCUUAUGUCCAGGGCUUCACGCAUGCUACAAUGGCUGGUACAGAGAGUGGCGAGCCUGUGAGGGUGAGCGAAUCUCGGAAAGCCGGUCUCAGUUCGGAUUGGGGUCUGCAACUCGACCUCAUGAAGUCGGAGUCGCUAGUAAUCGCAGAUCAGCAACGCUGCGGUGAAUACGUUCCCGGG